AACAAAUCAAAACACUCAUGUUCUGGUGAUAAAGGCGUAUGAU
rnacentral:guide_RNA from 1 species